AGCCGCGGUAAUUCCAGCUCCAAUAGCGUAUAUUAAAGUUGUUGCAGUUAAAAAGCUCGUAGUUGGAUUUCUGUUAAUAAUUUAUAUAUAAUAUUUAACAUAUUUAUAUAAUAUUAACAUAAUUCAUAUUACUAUUUAUAGUAUAUGAAACUUUACUUUGAGAUAAUUAGAGUGCUUAAAGCAGGCUUUUGCCUUGAAUACUAGAGCAUGGAAUAAUAUUAAAGAUUUUUAUCUUUCUUAUUGGUUCUAAGAUAGAAAUAAUGAUUAAUAGGGACAGUUGGGGGCAUUUGUAUUUAACAGUUAGAGGUGAAAUUCUUAGAUUUGUUAAAGACAAACUAAUGCGAAAGCAUUUGCCAAGGAUGUUUUCAUUAAUCAAGGACGAAAGUUAGGGGAUCGAAGACGAUCAGAUACCGUCGUAGUCUUAACCAUAAACCAUGCCAACUAG
rnacentral:rRNA from 1 species